AAAUUGAAGAGUUUGAUCAUGGCUCAGAUUGAACGCUGGCGGCAGGCCUAACACAUGCAAGUCGAACGGUAACAGGAAGCAGCUUGCUGCUUUGCUGACGAGUGGCGGACGGGUGAGUAAUGUCUGGGAAACUGCCUGAUGGAGGGGGAUAACUACUGGAAACGGUAGCUAAUACCGCAUAACGUCGCAAGACCAAAGAGGGGGACCUUCGGGCCUCUUGCCAUCGGAUGUGCCCAGAUGGGAUUAGCUAGUAGGUGGGGUAAAGGCUCACCUAGGCGACGAU
rnacentral:rRNA from 1 species